UAUGUUUAUGAAAAUGGCCAAAUUCUACAUGUUGUGUGUAAAAUGUUAACCUAGUUCUUUUUUUUGGGUUAUGCAUCGUGAUUUUUUUUUUGUUUUUUGCUUAACGGCUUGCAUCGUGAAGUUUGUUUGUAAACAGAAAUCAUAACUAGAACCCAAAAUGUUAGGAUCGUAUUUUAAUUAGAAGAAAAAAAUAUACUACUAUUUUAUUUUUAUCAAAUAUCUUACAAAAUACAAACGCAAACGAGACUAUUCUAUAUGUUUUCGCUUAUAAUUUUCAAACAAAUGUUUGAUAUCCAUGUACUAAGAGAACUAGUACAUGUGCAGCUAUUUCUAGGUGAAAGAAAAUAGAACUAGUAACUCGUUAAGAGUCCAGACUCUGAUCACUAUCAUCAGUAUUCAGUUGUAUAUCCAUCAAAAAGUAUCCAUGAUAUCGACUAACACUAAGAUACUCGACAAACACAACUUGGGUUAAACAUCGCCAAGUAUUUAUUUUUAUUUAUUUUGUUAGUGCCUAUAUAGUAGAUAUAUGUUAUAUAUAUUUCCUAUAUUAUAUUUUAUAGACUGACCUGGUUUCUGGAUAAUCCAGUCUGACGAGCCAAGAGGUGCUUAUCUGCAUCGCUUGGAUACCUGAGAAAGAGACCAGAAAACGACAUCACGCUAUCUUUGCCCUAAAUUCAAUCUAAUUUUUUCUUUUCUUUAUAUUUUCUCUAUAAACAAUACAAUCAAGUAUAUGCAAGAAAAAGUACAGACUUUCUCCUUCUUUUUGCCAACAAGGGCGUGAGAAUCUAAGAGACAAAAGAAAAGCUGAUGAUUACAUUAGCAUAGAUCCAGUUGUUUUCCUUCUUUUAACUUAGAUUUCUUUUUCUGUUUUGUUUUACUCAUAAAGCAAAUUCCAGAGAGGUGAAAAAGUACAAAAACACUAGUCUUUUGCUUUAUUUCCAUUUUUUAGAUUACUCUCAGUAACAAUAAAAUAGCAAAAUUCCACAGACAUAAAACUAAAGAAAA